UCUUGGUCAAUUAGAGGAAGUAAAAGUCGUAACAAGGUUUCCGUAGGUGAACCUGCGGAAGGAUCAUUACCGAAUCGUCGACACGAGUUGUCGCUGGCCCUCAAAAGGGGCACGUGCACGCUCUGUUUGCAUCCACUCACACCUGUGCACCCUCUGUAGUUCUGUGGUUGGAAAGGCAUCGCCUUUCCUCCCGUAGUCCUGCAUCUUUACACACACACUGUAACGUGGUUUUAUGGGAUGUAUGCAGCGUUUAACGCAACACAAUACAACUUUCAGCAACGGAUCUCUUGGCUCUCGCAUCGAUGAAGAACGCAGCGAAAUGCGAUAAGUAAUGUGAAUUGCAGAAUUCAGUGAAUCAUCGAAUCUUUGAACGCACCUUGCGCCCUUUGGCUAUUCCGAAGGGCAUGCCUGUUUGAGUAUCAUGAACACCUCAUACCCCCAUGGUUAUCUAUGGUGGGCUUGGACUAUGGAGGAUUUGCUGGCUUGUUGUCGGCUCCUCUCAAAAGAAUUAGCUUACCGGCAUGUGGUGGCAUCACGAGUGUGAUAAAUAUCUGCGCUUGUGGUAGCCCCCGGAUGACCUCCGUCCUUGGAGGUCUGCUGGAGCUUAUAGAUGUCUUUCUUUAGCAAAGACGGCUUCUGAACGUUUGAUCUCAAAUCAGGUAGGACUACCCGCUGAACUUAAGCAUAUCAAUAAGCGGAGGAA
rnacentral:rRNA from 1 species